AUCUCACUGCUGCAAGAAUGGCUCUUGUUCUACCAUCACUGACACGCAUCUCUGUGUUGGAUCUGGAAUCAAACAGUGUGAGUGGGGUUGGAGCUGAGGCCCUGGUUAGAGCCUUAAAGUCGUGUCCUGCUCUGCAGCUCAUCAGGCUGUGGAGGAACAAAGUCCCACCUAGUGAAGCCCACAGGCUCAGUCUGAGAGACAGGAGGCUGAAUUUCUCUCCUACCUAAUGUGAUCUGCAUUGUUGGACGGUGGCAGUGUGAAGCAAUAUAUCAGUUCAUGGGAAUCUGCAGAGAUGAGUGACUGCUUCAGUGGAGUUAAAAUGUGUUUUCCCUGCAGUAAGCCCAUCAGAAAAGCAUGACAGCAAAAGAGGUCCAUAUACAAUGUUUUGCUAUCAGUUGUGUAUCCAAUGACUGCAGCAGCUGGUGUCUAGUAUGAAGGGUUAGAACGCCACUAUGUGGUCCACUAUUUGGUCCACUAUGUGGGAGGACUCCUUUAGAUGUACAUUGUUUGAAUAUAUAGAAGUUAGUAUAGAGUUCUCAUCCCUUUUUGUAUUCCCCUAAAGUAUUUAGAUUUUUUUAAUCUCAAGAGCUGCUUGAGGAAGUGAUUGAGUACUUGAGUAUUUAAGUACAUAUGAAUGUUAAGGUAUUAUAUUUGGGAAAGCAAACAUCUGUUUUUAUGCUUAUAUAAAUGAAUGACUAUGCACUGACUGACCUCUAGUGUCGCGAUGGUGAACUGGCGUAUUGAGUUAAGUGCACCAGUGUUGCUGCACUCUUCACGGUGACACAGUGUCUCUUUUUCCAUGGUCUAUGAUUGGUAUGGCGAUCCUGACGUAGGUGUAUUAACACCCUAAUCUUAACUAAUGUGUCACCAACUGUGACAGACAGCUGGCUGACAGGACACACAGACGGCCAUCCUUAUAUGGCUGCCUUUAUACUAAUCUAAUUAUAUGACAAAAAUGUCAUAAAGUCGCUGCUCAGUAACUGCAGUACAGCCGUGUUCCUAUAUGGUGAAUUCAAACUGAGAUAAAGUUGGAGUUGCUGUGGGAAUAUUCUAAAAUGAUCAAAAUAAGCAUCAAGAAUGAUUUUACAGCAUUCUUAAUCAAUAGAAUAAAUUUAUGAUUCAGAAAUUAACAUAACAUACAUAAAGUUCCCAUGUAUGCACCAGAAAUAGAUUUGGCAGAAUAACCACUGAAGAAACAAAACACUAAUUUGAGGUUGUCUGAGACACACUUCUUUAUUUUUCUAUUUUCUAUGUGUGUUUCUGUUGGCAGCUGUAGGUAGGUCGUUCCAAACUGUACAUACUGUUCAGUAACACGAACAUUGAUAUCUGAUAAUGAUAUAGAGGGACAACCCACAGAGCACAUUCUUCAGGAUCAGCUGCACCUGUUCAGUCGCGUCACUGCUGUCUCCACUCAGUCCGCCACCCUUCAGCGCCGUGACCUAGAGGCCAUGUUGUGAAGGAUUCCUUGGUUUCCAACAAGGUUUCCUGAAGAUGAGUUGCUGUGUGUAUGCAGACUUGGAUACUCUGUCACUUUACACUGUAGACUGUAGCACUGUCUUUAGUAGAGGCCACAUAUGUGAAAACACAAUAAAUCAUGAACUCACAGUGAAGGAAGAGUUCAGAGGGAGCAGCCCCCCCAGUUUAGGUUGUGGUCUUUUUCCAAUAUGCAUAUUUAUUUCUGCUGUUAACUAUGGUGGCCGACAAGGGCAAAUGCGCCGCAAACGGCAAAACGCUGCAAACACGGGAAUGAUGCAAAACCAAAAACACAAAAACACAUAAAAACAAGUGCAACAGAAAAACGCAGCGACAGAAAAAUGCUGCAAUCACAGAAACGAAGCAGAAGCAAAAACGUACAAACCCACAAAACAAAUGCCAAAGAAAAAUGCUGCAAAUACCAAAAACACACAAAACCCCAAAACAACUGCAAGAUAUAAACGCUGCAGAUUCACUUUACAAAACGGAAGUGCGCCAGGCCACUAGGGGGACCCUACCUGAGGGAUGGACCAGUCCUGUGGGACCAGACCCGAAAGACAUGAAGAAGAAGAAAGUUUGCUAAGUUCUGGAGAGGACAGUAAAAAGGUACGCUUUCCUUUU